rnacentral:piRNA from 1 species
UGUCUAGGUACCACAGACACGGAAAGC